rnacentral:tRNA from 1 species
GCCGCCCGGCGGCCGCGGCGGCCGCUGCCGCCUUGGCCGCGGCAAGACCCCCACCGGCGUUCCGGGCGGCCGGCGCGGCC